UUUCUGCCUAUAUAAAUAUAUAUAUAUUUUUUUUUUUCACGCAAGUUGGAUAGUUUGAAGAACUGAAGGAAAGGGAGAACAUAGCCAUUUAGUCGUUUGAGAAAUAAAAAUUAAGUAAAUUUGCUGGUAGAAGAGGGGAAAGGUGAAAGUUUGUUUUACUUCUCUAUGAUUAAUGUUCUGGUAUGGUGAGUAGGGUAUGAUAAUAUUGAAAUGAUCUGCAGAAUAUACACCGGUGUAAUUGGUUAAUGUGUUCUUCUAGCAUUUGGAUUUGUUUGAUUUCAACACCUUUAUAAAACCUAUUUGGGUUUAAGUUUUAGUUCCCUUACACAUAGAUAUAGGAGAUGAAGCAGCACGAUGCCUCUUAUGCAAGGAUUCUUUGCUUAUGGCUUCCAAAGGUUGAGUCCUGGUGCAGGCGACUCUCUUCUAUUUUCCUGUAAUUUUCUCUUUUUUGUGUUCAACCAAUCUAAUUUUAUUACUUUCUUCAUUCCCAACCAUUGUUUCCUUUGUUUUCUUUUUCUUCGUCUUUUCUAUGUUCAAUCACAGGUUAGCCCUUUUUUGGUGUUUCGGCUUCGAUUUGCUGUUGCUCUCUCUGUUCGUAUACAGCUGGAGUUGAGUUCGUCCACAUCUGUAGACGGCGCCACUCUGACGAGUAGCUUUCCGCUUCCGACGACUUCGUUUGACGUUGGACUUCAUUUGUAUUUUUUCCUUACGAUUUACUUCUUGUACAUUAUCCUUCAAAAUUUUCGCUCCCUCUCUCCACCACCUCCUUAUUUCCCGGCCUCCGUCGACUGGACACACGAGGCAUAAAUUCCGGCGGUUUUCGAUUUGUGUUCUCAUAUUUUCCAAUUUUCUCUGCGCAUAUUGGUGCUUUAGGGAAGUGGAUGAAUCGCUGCUCGAUCUCAAAAGGCCUUCCCUAUUUCCUUCUAUGAUUGUUUCUUUUGUUGAGGAAAGUGGAUGAAAUCGCUGCUCGAUCGCAAAAAGCCCUCGCUCUCUUCUAUGAAUAUUUGUUUUCGUAGUUGGGGCUAUUAGGUCUUUAAUUUAAGCAACCUGGAUCGUAUAAUUGCAUUUUCAGAACUUUUGAAUGCAACAAAAUCGGGUGAGGAAUCACACGUUCACCUCAUAUUCAUUCUCUGUUUCCCAUUUAUUAUUUUCUUCUUGUUUUUCAAUUUCCUAUAUAUCAGAUUACAAGAAGAUUUCAAUCACUUGAAGGUAUUAACAGCUUUAUGUAUGUCGACACUUGUAAUCCGAUCUUUCUCGUAUUUUCAUACCUCUUGGUAAAAUUGAAAACCAAAAAUUUGAUUGUAUGUCGCAUAAUUUUUUGAAUCGUCUAUCAUGUUCGUGGCGUACGUUUAAGUUUUGUUUUUA